AGUGAACGCUGGCGGUAGGCCUAACACAUGCCAGUCGAACGGCAGCACAGUAAGAGCUUGCUCUUACGGGUGGCGAGUGGCGGACGGGUGAGGAAUACAUCGGAAUCUACUUUUUCGUGGGGGAUAACGUAGGGAAACUUACGCUAAUACCGCAUACGACCUACGGGUGAAAGCAGGGGAUCUUCGGACUUUGCGCGAUUGAAUGAGCCGAUGUCGGAUUAGCUAGUUGGCGGGGUAAAGGCCCACCAAGGCGACGAUCCGUAGCUGGUCUGAGAGGAUGAUCAGCCACACUGGAACUGAGACACGGUCCAGACUCCUACGGGAGGCAGCAGUGGGGAAUAUUGGACAAUGGGCGCAAGCCUGAUCCAGCCAUACCGCGUGGGUGAAGAAGGCCUUCGGGUUGUAAAGCCCUUUUGUUGGGAAAGAAAAGCAGCAGGUUAAUACCCCGCUGUUCUGACGGUACCCAAAGAAUAAGCACCGGCUAACUUCGUG
rnacentral:rRNA from 1 species